rnacentral:rRNA from 1 species
AGUGAACGCUGGCGGUAGGCCUAACACAUGCAAGUCGAACGGCAGCACAGUAAGAGCUUGCUCUUACGGGUGGCGAGUGGCGGACGGGUGAGGAAUACAUCGGAAUCUACUUUUUCGUGGGGGAGAACGUAGGGAAACUUACGCUAAUACCGCAUACGACCUACGGGUGAAAGCAGGGGAUCUUCGGACCUUGCGCGAGUGAAUGAGCCGAUGUCGGAUUAGCGAGGUGGCGGGGUAAAGGCCCACCAAGGCGACGAUCCGUAGCUGGUGUGAGAGGGUGAUCCGCGCCACUGGGACUGAGACACGGUCCAGACUCCUACGGGAGGCCGCAGUGGGGAAUAUUGGACAAUGGGCGCAAUCCUGCUCCAGCCAUACCGCGUUGGUGAAGCAGGCCUUCGGGUUGUAAAGCCCUUUUGUUGGGGAAGACAAGCAGCAGGUUAAUACCCCGCUGUUCUGACGGUACCCAAAGAAUAAGCACCGGCUAACUUCGUG